AUGCAAUUAAUCUAACACUCAUGCCUGCAAGUGUACAGACAUUCUUUUGAGAUUAAUGAUGGCACACUAACACUACAGUUUAGUUCUGUUAGUGAUAUAUUUACCUGAUGGUGAUGGCUAGGUAUUUCUAUAUUUCGUUGUUGAACUCCAACGCUUUUGUUUUCAUGCGGCUGUUUUCAGUCUUUUUUUGACGAAAAGGAUACAGCGAUCCAUUCAUUGCCAAAGAGGGUCGCGCGAUGCGGCCCGGGAACAAAAGUUAAGAAAGUACAAAACUCACGAGAAAGAGGGGGGGAGACAAACACAGAAGCUCACAAAAAACACAGGAGAGCUAAAUCUAAGGAACAUCAUCCGGCCCAGAGCAAAGCACUCCAAUACCAGCGCCAGCCUGCUUCCACACCGCAGCCUCCUCCUUGAUGAUGCUGAGGACACCUUCCUUGGGCCGCAAUUUAUUCUGAAACAUCCGACGAUUUCUUUCCUUCCAAGUUUCCCAGAGAACGAGCAAAGAGAUCGAGGCGACAACCUUUCCCAGCUCCUUCCCUUGCAGGCUGUUUUCAGUCUGAAACUGAACUUUGCAACACUCUGGUAGGAGUAAUCGAAGGCGCAAUAGUCUGAGGAACAAAGGCUUUCUGGCAGACAUCACCAUUUUGGUGUCUAAACACAUUGUUCGACAAAGAGAGCUGGUGUGCGCGCCAUGGUUCCAAGUGAAGAAGAAACAAUUCUUCCACAACUACAUGAUUAUUACAUUGUUUGCUGUAGUUGGGACCUUCAUGUCUUUCAGUAUAAUUUCCCUCGGUGCUAUGGGGAUAAUAUAAAAGCCGAACAUGGUGCCCUUGAGAUUGGGGACUUCCUACUUUCUCAACCAGUUUUUGGAGGAAACCGAUGCAAUUAUUUUAAAAUUGCUUCAGCUCAAGACAUUGUUUCCGAUCUGGAUAUCCUAUGAGAGGCGAUGCUGAUUUUUUUUAAACCUAAGUUCGAGCUGAAAUAGAGGUGCCAGACCGACAGAGAUGAAGACUUAUCUAAAAGCACGGUAACAGAUGUGAUUGAGCCAAGUGAGCCUUAGAGUGCCAUGGAAGGAUUAGUGAGUGAGUUCUCUCUCUCAGCAUCCUUGUUAGAGUUUUAGAUAUAGUUAUUACAGUGGAUAAAAUCAUGGGCUAGAGAACAUGGCUUGGUCAUAAUUUUUUACAUGGUCACUGCCCAGAAAUUCUAUAGGUGUACACUCAGUGGACACUUCCAUUGUUGGAGAGGAUGAUCUUAUGAAUAACAUGAACUAUGUUUCUGUGCGA